UUUUUUUUCUUUUUCUUCUCUCUCUUUUUCUUUUUUUUUUCUUUCCUUUUUUUCUCUCUUUUUUCUCUCUUUUUUUUCUCCCUCUUUCCAAGACAAACUAGAUAAGAUGCAGAUUGGAUCAGGCAAAGAUGUGAAUGACCUCAACUAUGAUUAUGACAAUGAACAGCGCGUAGCACGUGGUGGAAAUUAAUAGAUGGGAUGGUGGACUGCGGAAGGGAUAACGAUGCAGCGGCGGCGUGACUAAUGUGAACAGAACUCGAAACUCUAAAGGAACUAGACACUAAGACCAGCAACUGACACGACGAUGCAACCGAUAAUUCAACUAUGCAAGCAACGAAUAGAAAAUUGCAAAGGCUCAGACUGGCUUGGAUAAAGGAUGAACAGAUCUAACUUUUUUUGUGGCUCUUUCAUGAACUAUAGGUAUGAAUGACAGAUGAGAUCUAAACUAUGAAAAACUGUAAAAUCUCACCGAGCAACCUGAAAACUGAUACCACUUGAUAGAGGCGGGGUGUCCCGAUCUUUCGAUGAGAUGAUAACUAUCGAUUUGGUGAAGAUGACUUUGACGAUCCGACUACAAACGUGCACGACGUUGCGCCUUAGCAAUCGCUAAACCAACUCCGAGAGGUUAUUGACCACGCUGGAGCACAAUCAACCUGACCACGAAGGUCUAUUUCUGCAAGCAAUCGAAGAACAAGCAAGAAUAUGAUAAAAGCAAUCUGAAUAUUGCGAGUAUAUAUGAAGUAUUGAUAAAGGUGGGGAUCCAUAAGCGGUCUUGGUCUGGUCGUUGGACACAAACGAAAUACACGAAGUUGCAAUGGCUAACUUUUAACUAAACAAAUCCCCAGGAAAAGCUACUAGAUGGAUCUACUUAUAUAGGAGCAAGGGGUGGCGGCCAAGGAGGUGGGAGGACGUCCCAAGGCAGGCUAAAACUAAAUCUAGGUCGUACAAGGCCAAUGGGCCCAAGUGGAGGUGAUGUAACGCCUUUGGACUUGUAGUUUGACUCGGAUUCUGCUGCAGCAUCAGAUUGUUUCGUCCACAACUCAACGCUCCGGACGCAUUUGAUGGUGAUUCCAAUUGGGUUGGAAAGUGCACGAAAUCUAGUUUCCAACAAAAAAAGAAUCACCCAAUUCGGAGUCCGUAUGAAAAACUUGUGUGCGUUUUGAGUCAGGUAUGUAUGUGCAGUCCGAAUCUGAAUCCAGAACGUGAGAGACUUGGACUCUAUCUUCUCUUGGGCCAAAAGUGACGUGAGAGAACUUUUUGGACAGCAAAUAAACAUCUCUUUCUUCCUUGUCUUCAUAUGUGGAUUGUAUAAAUGUCCCAUACACCUGCAAUUAGACAAAACACAAAAGUGUGUGAAAUAUUUUUGUUCUGGAUAACAUAAAUAGAUUAUUGAAUAGUUUGCACUAGAAAUCACCUGACAAAUAUGCAUAUAUGCAAUAUUUUUGGUCAUAUCCAAGGUAGUCAUAUCCUCAUCAUCCUCCCCUUUUUGAAAAUAAAGCCGUCCUCGGCGUUGCUUAAUCUGAAAUGUGGCUAACAAAAGAGACAAGGUGUACAUGUUGUAUAUGUAUAUGUCAUCCAUUUUUACUUCCCUUGAUUUUUGCAUAUAUGACACAUGAAUAGAUGAGUAACUUGCAUAGUUCAUAAAAUCUAAAGCCAAAAAAUUAGCACAAGAAGUAGAAAGCAUGAAAAUAUUGCAACUCAGUUUGCACAUAUAAGUGAAGCUCUUAUUCAUUUCAAAAGAUUGACAAUGUUCAUCAUUAAACCAUCCCAACAUUGGUGAAUAAACCUUACUUGCAUCAAAUUUACAUGCUACAACAUGCUUAAAUAAGCAAACAUGCAAUAAGUCAUUCAACACAGAAUCAUCACCAAGAUUAGAGGUCAUAUCAAAAUGAUUAAACAUUGGUUCUUUUGCAUCAAUAGUUAAUUCAAUGGGUGCACUCAAAAUUGUUGGUAUUUCAGUUGUUUGAUCACAUGGCAAAGUCAAAUUAUCAACGUAGUCCUCUAAAAUAGGUGGUGUGAUCAAAGUAGUGGGUAGCUCAUCAGAUGGUGCAUUCAAAUUGACAAGGCAUUCAUCAUUCUCAUGUAGAGAUGGAAGAUCAGUACCUUUGUCAUUACCUCUUAUGAUCAACUCAGAUGAUGUAGCCACUCUCGGGGGUGAUGUGUCACAUGGUGGGGGUGAUGUAGUCCUGACAACAACGGAUGUGGUUGUCAUAGUAUGCCUAGUAGUUGAAGGAACAAUCAUAUCAACUCUUGGAAUGUGCACCGUGCGCUUGUUCUCCUCGUGGCCAACACGUCGUUUUAUUUCCUGUUCAGCUUUGCAAGCAAGAUGAAACAAAUGGUCCAUAGGAUAACACUCUUCAUGAAUUAGUAUCUCUUGAAUAUCACGGUUUAAUCCUCCCCAAAAUCUAUCCAUAAAAUCAUCUUCACUUUUUUCUAAAGAGGAAUGCAACAAGGUAGUUUGUAAAUCAUCAUAAUAGUUUGUUACAGUUUCACUACCUUGUUUUAAGUGUUGUAACUUCUUAAUCAUGUCACGAGUAUAAUAAGCAGGGACGAAAGUAUGUCGCAUAGCAAGUUUCAAAUCAUCCCAAGUAGUAGGUAUAUAAUCAGGGUGUAACCGACAAUAUUCACUCCACCAAACCAAAGCAUAACCAGUGAAAGAAACCAACCGCACCCUUAACCUUUUUAUGUUCAUUGAAAUUAUGGGAAGCAAAUAUAUUUUUUAUGUCGAACUCCCAUUCAAUAUAUAAAGCAGGUUUAAAACGGCCAUUAAAUGGUGGUAUAGAUACAUUAACCUGAUCAUGUGCAUUUGGAUGUUUGUGCACCUCUCGUGACGGUUGUGGUAUUUGCAAAGGUGGUGGCACGUCUCCCGCGAUCGACAAAGCCCAUGAAUUGACUCUGGAUCCUGUCAUGAUUAGUAGAACAAGAAACAAAACCCAAAAAUAAUGUUCCUAUAACUACUAGGAUGUGGUGGUAAAACGCUCACAGUAAAGCAAAUAUCAAUGUCUUACAAGUUCUUACCAUGCAGCAGGCGGUGAUCAGCAACCAGCGGUGUCAAGUAACUCCGAAUAUUGAGUAAAGCGAUUGCCAGGGGAGCGUACGUAUACACGAUGUAGAAAUAUGUGGAGCUGGGUUGGCUAUAUAUGGUAGCAAAAGAUUAGCAAUAAUCAAUUCAAAGAUGCAAUGUUGAAUAAACGCUCAACGACGGUACUGUGCUGGUCCUAGGCUAGACCGGACUAGAGACGCGAGCCUAGAACACUAAUGAGGUCACGGCGUAGCACAACUAGCAUCAAUGAAGGAUACUAAGUAGCUCUUGACAGCAAGAUAUAAGUGAAGAUCACAACGGCAGUGAAGAUAAUGAUGAAAAACAACUGCCAAGCAGGAUAUACAACAACUCUCUCUCCAACUUUCCUCUUGAAAAGUUUGAGACAAUUUUCUGAUAAAUUCUUUCAAAGAAUGCUACUAACUCAAGCUUUCCAAUGCAAAAGAAUCACUCAAUUCCGAGUUGAUAUGAGAAGUCAAAGAAUUUUAAAACUGGCCUGAAAAAUUGGAACAAGUUGUGUUCACGAACUUCGGAGGGCAAAAAGACCUAUUUAGAAGCCGAUUUUGAGGUGUCAAAUAUUGAACUAGCUUCUGCAACUAUUUAGAUGCGGCUCGUCGCUAUCUUCAAUUUGAGUACUCACGGAGCCAAAACUGACUUCGUAUGAGGAAGAUAUACCUGUUUUACUGAACAGUGCGCAAAACAGAUUCCAAUCCGAAUUCAGGUACGAGAUUGAUUCUAGAUAGAUCCGAUUUUUUUCUUCUUCUCUCUUUUUUUCCUCACGCUUUUUUUUUCUUUUUCUUCUCUCUCUUUUUCUUUUUUUUUCUUUCCCUUUUUUCUCUCUUUUUUCUCUCUUUUUUUUCUCCCUCUUUCCAAGACAAACUAGAUAAGAUGCAGAUUGGAUCAGGCAAAGAUGUGAAUGACCUCAACUAUGAUUAUGACAAUGAACAACGCGUAGCAUGUGGUGGAAAUUAAUAGAUGGGAUGGUGGACAGCGGAAGGGAUAAUGAUGCAGCAGCGGCGUGACUAAUGUGAACAGAACUCGAAACUCUAAACGAACUAGACACUAAGACCAGCAACUGACACGACGAUGCAACCGAUAAUUCAACUAUG
rnacentral:lncRNA from 1 species